UAACAAGGAUUCCCCUAGUAACUGCGAGUGAAGCGGGAAGAGCUCAAAUUUAAAAUCUGACAGUCUUCUGGCUGUCCGAGUUGUAAUCUGGAGAAGCGUUUUCCGUGUUAGACCGUGUACAAGUCUCCUGGAACGGAGCGUCAUAGAGGGUGAGAAUCCCGUCCAUGACACGGACAACUAAUACUUUGUGAUACGCUCUCGAAGAGUCGAGUUGUUUGGGAAUGCAGCUCAAAAUGGGUGGUAAAUUCCAUCUAAAGCUAAAUACAGGCGAGAGACCGAUAGCGAACAAGUACCGUGAGGGAAAGAUGAAAAGCACUUUGGAAAGAGAGUUAAACAGUACGUGAAAUUGUUGAAAGGGAAACGCUUGAAGUCAGUCGCGUUGUGCAGAACUCAGCCUUGCCUCGGCUUGGUGUACUUUCUGCACAACGGGUCAACAUCAAUUUUGGCCCAUGGAGAAAGGUGGGGGGAAUGUAGCGCUGUUUCGGCAGCGUGUUAUAGCCCCUCACUGUAUACAUGGGCUGGGAUUGAGGAACGCAGCACGCCCUUGUGGCCGGGGGUUCGCCCCACGUACCGUGCUUAGGAUGUUGGCAGAAUGGCUUUAAGCGACCCGUCUUGAAACACGGACCAAGGAGUCUAACAUGCUUGCAAGUGUUCGGGUGGAAAACCCUUGUGCGUAAUGAAAGUGAAAGUUGGGAACCUCCGCAAGGGGGUGCACCGACGCCCGGCCCUGACGUUCUCUGACGGUGCUGCGGUAGAGCAAGUAUGCUAGGACCCGAAAGAUGGUGAACUAUGCCUGAAUAGGGCGAAGCCAGAGGAAACUCUGGUGGAGGCUCGUAGCGAUUCUGACGUGCAAAUCGAUCGUCAAAUUUGGG
rnacentral:rRNA from 1 species